rnacentral:rRNA from 1 species
GAUGAACGCUGGCGGCGUGCCUAAUACAUGCAAGUCGAGCGAACAGACGAGGAGCUUGCUCCUCUGACGUUAGCGGCGGACGGGUGAGUAACACGUGGAUAACCUACCUAUAAGACUGGGAUAGCUUCGGGAAACCGGAGCUAAUACCGGAUAAUAUAUUGAACCGCAUGGUUCAAUAGUGAAAGACGGUUUUGCUGUCACUUAUAGAUGGAUCCGCGCCGCAUUAGCUAGUUGGUAAGUAACGGCUUACCAAGGCAACGAUGCGUAGCCGACCUGAGAGGGUGAUCGGCCACACUGGAACUGAGACACGGUCCAGACUCCUACGGGAGGCAGCAGUAGGGAAUCUUCCGCAAUGGGCGAAAGCCUGACGGAGCAACGCCGCGUGAGUGAUGAAGGUCUUCGGAUCGUAAAACUCUGUUAUUAGGGAAGAACAAAUGUGUAAGUAACUAUGCACGUCUUGACGGUACCUAAUCAGAAAGCCACGGCUAACUACGUG